CCCCUGGAAGGCCUCACCCGUUGCCUCCGUGUGCUGGUAAGGAGAUACCUCCGAGCGAGUCGCGGUUCGAUGUGUGCGGUCAUACCAUGGUGAGCCUGAUGGCGUGUGAGUGGUGUUUGGGUUGCGUGGGUUGAUAGGCUCCUUGCUCGUGCGACGAACUAUCGGCCCCAACCGCAUUUCAUUGUUAGCCACAAGUGCUUCGACGAGAGACUUGGGCGUCGUGGAAGUUGGGUUCCUGUGUUGCAUUCCUAUUGUGAUGGAAUUGUCCCUUCAAAGUUGCCUCUACCCCGCCUUGCUUUGCUAAUGCAAUGCGGGCGGGACUCGGUAGCGGCCGUCGUGGUCCUCGGUCGCCCUUCGCAUGCAAGCAUGGGAGGCGGUGCGCCACGGGCCACGACGUCCGCCGGUGCUCUCGGAUGCGGAACGUUAAGCCGGGCGAGUUGGACCCCCAACGGAAGCUCGAACUAAGCGUUAUUCGCUGUUGCGAACGACAGCGGUCAUCGCGUUGCCCUCGCGUUGCCCCCCUCGGGGGCCUCGGCGAGGCGCAUGCGGUGCCGCCGUCGCACGAGGAUG
rnacentral:misc_RNA from 1 species